GACUAUAUAUUUUGCUUGCUGAAAAUCAAUGCCAGUUUAGACCGACAUGAAUUUCCAUGCUAGUGCUGGUUUAUCCUGCUUAAACAAUGAGAUUGUUUACAGUAGCCGACAAUAAGGAAAGCCAAGGACAACUUUAAAUCCUUAAGCCAUCUUCCCCAUGUGCUCUGAGAACAAAACAAGCACGUAAGCGGAGUCAUUAACAUAUGAAAAGCCUUCUCACACAGCUCUGAGUUAUCAAUGAACCGUGAUACAGUACCAUUCAAAAGUUUGGGGAAACCCACAGAGAUCCCCGUGAGGUAGCUGGUGUCCUCUUCUCCCGCUGUUUCCAGCAUCUUCUCCUCCCAUCUUCUGUGUGCGUGUGACAUUCGGGACAGAGAUUAAACCCACUAACCCAGAGCUCGAUCCAACCACAAAGUCGCAGCACAGCAGGGCCCUGACUCACCUCUGUCACACACACACAUGAAUUCACACUUCCCGCCAACACACGGCCAUCUGCUGCCUGAACACAUUCCCCUCAUAUCGUUCCUGCGGCACGUAUGACUGUGUCCUGCAGUCUGGGUUUAACAUGAAGAUAAACAAAUCAGAGCAGCGUAUGAACAGCAGAAUGAAAGGUUACACGUUCACUUACGCUAACAUUCGUCCCUCAAAUCAGUGGAAACGUGAUGCUGGAUCUGAGAGAAGUUUACAGAUCUCCUGUUGACCACCAGCACUGAGGUAAGAGAAGUUUUCACCAUCACCUCACUUCCUUCCUUCCUCCAGGGAAUCUCCCGAAGAGGUCAAUGGGGUCAGACACAUGCCUGCAGUCUUACACUUCACACACAGAUGCAGAUGGAGAUGUGAUUGUGGUCACUGCCUGUGGUGUGUGUGUGUGUGUGUGGGUGGACGUGAGCUCGGUGUCUCCUGCUCAGUACCCUUUACGCAGCCAGGCCGGUCUGGACACUGCGACGGCGAUCCAGCAGCGCUCCAGGCAGGGAGUGGAUGUGACUUUGAGUCGCUGCCACUGUUUGGCCAGAGGAUUAUCGAACCGCUCUUCAACAUUCACCAACUCUGUGUGACGGACUGUAAAGUGUUGGUCUCGUGCAGAGAGACUUUGGACUAACUGUGAAGUCUAGCCAGUGUGCAGCUUAUUCUGACCACUGUGUGACUGACACUCACAGCAACCAAUCACAGGUUUUGUUUUUACAUGUUUAUUCACUAUAAAAGUUGUACAUCUGCAAUCAGUUGUACAAAAACACCAGUGGUAGAGUACAUACUCUACCAUUCACUGUAAAAAAUGCUGGGUAGUUUUAUUUAACUCAACUAUUGUUUAAAAAUUACUAUAUUACUAGCUUAAAAUGGAUCCAAAAUAGGUUGGAAAUUAACGUUUAUUAUUAUGUUUAAUAAAUGAACAUUUAUUUAUAAGUUUAAUGAAUAAUAGUUAAACAAUAAACAUUUACUAAAUUGCUUAGUAAUGUUCACCUUUUGAUUAUUAUUGUUGCCUCUAGUAAUUAUGUGUCUGAUUUUUAAUUUCCAACAUAUUUUGGGUUCAUUUUAAGCCAGACAUAUAGUCAUUUUUAAACAAUAGUUGAGUUAAAUAAAACUGCCCAGCAAACAUUUAACUGGGUUUGCCCAUAUAUUAACCCAAUAUGGGUUGUUUUUAACCUACCAUUUUUUAGUGUUCAAAAGUUCAUCAGUAAGAACAGUAAGAAUUUUUAAAUGCUUACCAAGGCUGCAUUUAUUUGAUCAAAAAUUCUGAAAAAAAUGUGAAAUAUUAUUACAACUGCUUUCUAUGUGAAUAUAUUGUAAACUGUAAUUUAUUCCUGUGAUCAAAGCUGAAUUUUCAGCAUCAUUACCUCAAAACUCCUUUUUUUUUAUUUCAGUAACCUGGUAAAUUUGGACAAAUCUGGUAAUUAAAUCUUCCUCAAAAGUGUUUAUUCCAUGAAUCCAGUACCUCGUAAACAUCUUCCUUUCCAGGUGGACUAAACGUGUCUUUAUGAUGAGCAGACUGGAACUGAAGAUUUUGUGUGUAAAAUGCAUCUUACGGUCGACUGUGGUGGGGAAAUUGAUUGAAGAUAGUGGUGCAGAAAUGAUUCACAGCAGUCAGUUGAGGGAAAAACAGAGUAUUCUUGCAUAUAGUUUCAGCUUCAGACGUCACGCUCACAAACUGAUGCGUAAGGCACACAAAAUGGGAAACACUUAGAAAUUAGUCAUCUGAUUAGUUGAAUUCUACAGGAUUUCCAGGAGACGCGUGUGUCGCGUUCAUUAACGGUCCGCCUGUAAACAAAGCCGUAGUGAAGCCAAACCCCCUCAUGGAAGAGGAAAUCCGUCGUGUUUACAAUUGUGACAAUGAGCGCUUUUUAGGAUCACUGGAUUUUCAACAUUUUUGCUCUUGAAUGAAAUAUUCAUUCGUUGCACACCGGUCUGUUAUUGUAGGGACAUGACUCUGACCAAAACAAACUCUGAUUGGUUGCUUUACAUGUCAGUCAGAUGGCCUCUGGAUGGUCCUUGGCCAAUGAAAGCUGCUAUAGAGUGCGUUAGUGCCCCACCCACUUUUUCAACGGCGUUGGUUCCGGAAGUAUUCUUUCCAUUCAUUUCUCCCAUAUGGAUUUGGUUAAAACAUUUUAAGCCAUGAACCAAACCAACCAGCAAUGAGGAGAACCACAACAUUACAAACUUUGAAGCAAAAAAGUAUUUGAAAAUCUGACAAAAAUCUAAAGAUACAAGACUGUGUACUUAACAACUUUAGUGAAGGAAAGAACUACAAUCCCAUGAAGCAUUGCGAACAUGGAGAAAUAAAAAACUACUAAUUCAAAACAACAUAUUUUAAGUUUGUUAUAAAAUAUACAAAUAUUUAAGUAUUUUGAGAGUGUAGGGAGACCGACUCGAUUACAUCAUUCCAAGUUCUUCAUGGGAGUGGGCGAAGCUAAAGAGAUCUUUUGUUUCGACUCUCUGAUUGGUGGAAUUUUCUGUACAGCAUCAUGGGUAAUGUAGUUUUUCACCACGAAUUCUGCUGUUAAACACCAUUAUUUUAAAAAGAAAUUGAAAUAAUGCGGCUUGACGGCUUCAGCAGAAGCAAAUAUCAUCGAUUAACAACCUCGUAGCUCAGUAGUUAAAUCACUUACCCUAAAAUUUACAUAAACCCGGUUUGAACAAUGUAAGGCUGAAAACCGUUUACUGACAAUCCUCAUUUUGUCUGCGUGAGAUUCUCCAGCUUUGUUGUUGUUGAGCAACCGAAGCGUGAGCUGUUAAAGCUCCGCCCUCUUCUGGAAAGGGGGCUGGGAGCAGCAGCUCAUUUGCAUUUAAAGGGACACACACAAAAACUGCGUGUUUUUGCUCACACCCAAAUAGAGGCAAUUUAACAAGCCAUAAUAAAUGAUCUGUGGGGUAUUUUGAGCUGAAACUUCACAGACACAUUCUGGAGACACCAGAGACUUAUAUUACAUCUUGUGAAAGAAGCAUUAUAGGUCCCCUUUAAAGGUUUAUAUGUCAAAGUAUGGAGAAAAUGAAUGGGGUUUUACUUCUGGCUCCUGAGUGUUGCGCUCUAAGGAGUCCAGACCUUCUGCCGUCAGUCUGAAUGUCUGAGACUAUCUUGCAUAUCUGUAUUGUAGUCCAGUUAUAAUGUAAUCAGGCUUUGCAAAGAGGAUGUGGCAGCGCCAAAUCUAUUGGACCUAGUGAAGUCUUAAAGGUACAGUAGCAAACAGCCUGUUGAAGGGUCAGAUAAAGGGAGGAAAAGGCUCAUGAACACUAAAUUAUGAUGUUUUUGGUGCAAGAAAUCCUGAGAUUUGAGGCAAAAAAAACACAUGACCCCUGUAAUAAAUGUCAGCACCACCUGUGGAGUUCAGAGCAGCUGUCAUGUUUCACUGUGUGUGUU